UCCCUGGUAGCUCAGACGGUAAAGCGUCUGCCUGCAAUGCAGGAGACCUGGGCUCAAUUCCUGGAUUGGGAA
rnacentral:tRNA from 1 species